CACCGGCGGCUCGAGUGGUGGCCACUUUUAUUGGGUCUAAAGCGUCCGUAGCCGGCUUGGCAAGUCCCCUGGGAAAUCUGGCGACUUAACCGUCAGGCGUCCAGAGGAUACUGCUAGGCUUGGGACCGGGAGAGGUGAGAGGUACCUCAGGGGUAGGGGUGAAAUCUUGUGAUCCCUGAGGGACCACCAGUGGCGAAGGCGUCUCACUAGAACGGGUCCGACGGUCAGGGACGAAAGCUGGGGGCACGAACCGG
rnacentral:rRNA from 1 species